rnacentral:rRNA from 1 species
GACGAACGCUGGCGGCGUGCUUAACACAUGCAAGUCGAACGGAAAGGCCCUGCUUUUGUGGGGUGCUCGAGUGGCGAACGGGUGAGUAACACGUGAGUAACCUGCCCUUGACUUUGGGAUAACUUCAGGAAACUGGGGCUAAUACCGGAUAGGAGCUCCUGCUGCAUGGUGGGGGUUGGAAAGUUUCGGCGGGUGGGGAUGGACUCGCGGCUUAUCAGCUUGUUGGUGGGGUAGUUGCUUACCAAGGCUUUGACGGGUGGCCGGCCUGGGAGGGUGACCGGCCACAUUGGGACUGAGAUACGGACCAGACUCCUACGGGAGGCAGCAGUGGGGAAUAUUGCACAAUGGGCGGAAGCCUGAUGCAGCAACGCCGCGUGCGGGAUGACGGCCUUCGGGUUGUAAACCGCUUUCGCCUGUGACGAAGCGUGAGUGACGGUAAUGGGUAAAGAAGCACCGGCUAACUACGUG